UUGAAAUUUGAGAAGAUUGUUCCUAUAUCUAGAGGUGCUCGUGACUCAUGCUCUCUUUCUUUUUGUUCUGGAUGCUUUGAAAAGCCAUAGGAAAGUUCCUUCAAGCCCAGCAGUUAAUUGUCACAGUGAGGCCUGUUUGAUGACUCCAUAUUUAUUUUAAGAGGAACCGCAUUCCGCUGGGCCUGCCAGGAUGAGUUAGCUGCGAAAUGCAUUCCUAAAUAGCUAAAUGAUUCAGCACAAGAUCCCUAUAUGAAAUUGACUCUGUAAUGCAGCUGCAUGUCUCUCUGUUGGAAAGUCUAUCUAUUUCAGAAAAAUGAUUGUCCUUAUGCAGUCUGGUUUUAAGUACACCUGAUCUUUGGAAAGAACGGGAUCAUUCUGAACAUCACAUGAUGAAGAGAGUUGACAGCAUUAUUGCAAACCACAUAGACCUCUACAACAGGGACAUUUGUAUUAUUUAAGGACAUCUAUCAGAUAACAUUUGCUCAGGUUAUGUUGUGGAAUGGUGUCAUCAGAAAUCCCAGGAUGGAAUGGAAACCAAGAUUCCAUGAAUUCAAGACUUGUAAGAAGAGGGUCUGAGAAUCCAGCCUUUUACAAAUGACAUUUCAUGGUUGGGCUGUAUUAAGGAACCAUUG
rnacentral:lncRNA from 1 species